ensembl:snRNA U6 U6 spliceosomal RNA
GUGCUCGCUUCGGUAGCACAUAUACUAAAACUGGAAUGAUGCAUGAAGAUUAGCAUGGCCCCUGCAGAAGGAUGACAUGAAAAUUCAUGAAGCAGUCCAUAUUUUU